ensembl:snRNA U6 U6 spliceosomal RNA
UUGCUUUCUUCAUCAGCACAUAUACUAAAAUUGGAACGAUACAGAGAUUAGUAAGGCCCCGAAACAAGGCUGAUAUGCAAAUUUAUGAAGCAUUCCACAAAAAA